rnacentral:misc_RNA from 1 species
AGUAUGUAGACCAGUUUGAUAUUCGCCAUUCAGUACAUGGAAACAGCAGGUCGGGGAGCUAGUGAGUGAAAUAUGUUCACUGUGUCAUAAUUUGUAGGCAAUGUAAUUCCUCAGUUGAAGGCAGAUAUAAAUUUGAUAGCAAUCUACAUUUAAGUAAGUUUUUCCUUGCUAUGUUGUCUUGGUUAUGCUUCUGAGAUAAAAAAAGGAUAGAAUUCUUUUAUUGGCAUCAACUUUGUCUUCCUUCUUGUUCGAGUAAUCAAUGAAGGAAAUUUAUAAACAAGAGCUACAGUAUGGUUGUCCUCCUUCAUUUCUCUU